rnacentral:rRNA from 1 species
CGGGUGCGUAACGCGUAUGCAACCUACCUUAAACUGGGGGAUAGCCUUCCGAAAGGAAGAUUAAUACCCCAUAGUCUUCUACAAGGGCAUCUGAGUAUAAGUAAAGAUUUAUCGGUUUAAGAUGGGCAUGCGUGACAUUAGCUAGUUGGUGAGGUAACGGCUCACCAAGGCUACGAUGUCUAGGGGUUCUGAGAGGAUGAUCCCCCACACUGGUACUGAGAUACGGACCAG